UACGUAGGGGGCUAGCGUUGUCCGGAUUUAUUGGGCGUAAAGAGCGCGUAGGCGGCCGAGUAAGUCCGACGUGAAAUCUGGAGGCUCAACCUCCAGCGGUCGUUGGAAACUACUCGGCUAGAGUCCGGAAGAGGAGAGUGGAAUUCCUGGUGUAGCGGUGAAAUGCGCAGAUAUCAGGAAGAGCACCGAUGGCGAAAGCAGCUCUCUGGGACGGUACUGACGCUGAGGCGCGAAAGCGUGGGGAGCGAACAGG
rnacentral:rRNA from 1 species